AAACCCUGCCUACUCCCAUCCCCCUUCGUCCUGCGGGAGGUUUGGCGUAGGAAGUAAACUAUCCUCAACUAUAAAGGAACAUCCGAAACAUGUAAGACAUUUUACAAACAAACAUUUUACAAAUACUAAAUAGCAGCGCCGGACUUAACCAUUGUGAUCAAAAAGUCAUGGAAAGAGAACAAGUAAUCUACUAUGCAUAUUCACCCGUAACUUAAUAGCAGGGCCGGACUUAACAAUUGUGGGGCCCUAUGCGAAACGGAUUUCGCGGGGCCAAGUUUGGGAAGUCUGCAGCGCAAAAAAGCUUUUGAAAAUUUGAAUGCUCGGUGGUAUGCAGGUCGUCAGCUGACUUGUAUAUUUGUCAAUAUUGUGUCCUGGAAGUCUGCUAUAUGUGAUAAUGAGAGCGUCAUGUGGCCAGCACAGUGACCAACUGCCUACUUUUCCCCCAAAAUGUCAUGUACUUCAUUAGGAGUUGAGACCGGAACAAAGAGCGUGACCUCUCAGCCACCAAGCCUCCUCGUGUUCUCUUUGUUUGGGUGAUAUUUUCUUGUAGUAUUUUCUUGAAAUGUAGUAUUCUCACAAGUCCACUACUUACAACAUAUUACAAGACAUUUGAAAUGAGUAUAGGAAGAACAAAGUUCCUUUGAUACGUUUAAUCAACACUAGAGAGAAUUUAGUCUGAGUCACUGUCUGUCGUAAAAGAUGUUUGCUAAUGUAAAUUUGACACCUAAGUAUUGUUCAAACCAGCAUGUAUAUUUUUAAUUUCAUAUCAUUCUCAAUGCUGAAUCUCAUAAGCCUGCCUAUAAAAUGAUUUUUAUGUUUAACAAUGUACUCUAGCUGCAUUCAAUCAGCCAAAAAGUAAAAAGUUUUACUGUAACGGUAAGAAUAAUAAAAAUGAAGCCAAAAAGCUGUUAAUGCUCACAUUAAAUGAUAAUAGUUAAUUUACACUUUACAUUUUUUGAUAAAAUUAAAGAUAUUCAUGUCCAUGAAACCAUUUUUUUAAAUGCAAUUUUCAUUCUUUUAGGACUGGCCUAAAAAAAAAAAACAAUACUACAAAGGAGAGCCCCGUAACUUUUUACAUGUGUUUAGAAACCCUGGUGGAGAGUUUACAGAGUUAGAUUAUGAUAAAGACAGAGUCAGCUCAGAGAGGCAUUAGUCAACAGACUCGGUACGAUAUCACCAGUCUAGAAGACAAUCUUCUUCAUCAUAUCAGUCAUCAAGUCACAGAUCACGCUCUCCACCUUAAUCUAGGUCCCGUUCAUCAAGAAAGUCAUCCCACUACCAGAUCAAAGUAAUCGCAC